UACGUAGGGUGCAAGCGUUGUCCGGAAUUAUUGGGCGUAAAGAGCUCGUAGGCGGUUUGUCGCGUCUGCCGUGAAAGUCCGGGGCUCAACUCCGCGCCUGCAGUGGGUACGGGCAGACUAGAGUGCAGUAGGGGAGACUGGAAUUCCUGGUGUAGCGGUGGAAUGCGCAGAUAUCAGGAGGAACACCGGUGGCGAAGGCGGGUCUCUGGGCUGUAACUGACGCUGGAGGAGCGAAAGCGUGGGUAGCGAACAGG
rnacentral:rRNA from 1 species